GCCGGGAUGUGUUCAGGAAAACUCAGGAAAAACGAACUUCAGGUUAGAGCAAAAACAAAACACUGGCAAAACAGGCUCAAGAUGCUGGAUUCAUGACAAAGCUCAAAUAGAAUUU